UUGAGUUUUAAUCGAGUCAAGUUUAUUUACCAUGUUCAAUGUUGAAACACUAGCUAAUUAGGUAUGGUAUAUAGGUGGGCUUUUGAUUUUUCUCAUUCUAUAUUUAUGUUAGGAACAAGGGAUGAAGCUGAGAUUGAGAGGCUACGGGGAUGUUUACAUGGCAAGAGUGCAACAACUAAGUUGUCAAAGUUGGAUAGAGGGGACAAGGUUGGUACAUGCUCUCCUCUAUGGGUACAGCCGUACAGGUACUUUCUCUGCUUCCACCUUAUGAAGGAAAGUCUGUACUGCGAAUUGGCGAGGGCAUUGUUCAUCUUACUGCUAAAUUGGCCAAGAAUUGAAGGUUGGCCAUGUUGUAGCUGUUGACGUCACUUGAGUGUGAAAAACGAGGUGAAAUACUGAAAUUGAUCAGUGGUUGGAACAAUAGUUCAAAGCAUGGUGAAAUGGUUGAAACCAGGAGGGUUUAUUUUCUUCAGAGAGGCUUGUGCCAAUGAGUAUGCAGAUCAGAACUAAAGCUACUAUGUCCACUGUCGUGAUCCUAAGUUCUACUCGAAGAAAAAACGAAAGAAUUUUUGUCAAGGCUUGACCUGAAACCUGGCCAGAAGGUUCUGGAUGUGGGUUGUGGCAUAGGUGGCAACAUGGCAGAGAACUUCGGCGUUGAGGUCGUUGGAAUUGAUCUCUCCAUCAAUAUGAUCUCCAUUGCUCACGAGCUGCUGUUGGACUCAAUUAUGCUGUUGAGUUUGAGGUGGCUGAUUGCACAAUGAUAACUUACCCGGAGAACACUUUUGAAGUGGUCUACAGCCGCGAUACCAUUCUUCAUAUUCAGGGGAUUUAACUUUGUGUGCAUGUUUACCAUCCUUUUGCUUACAAUUAUCCACUUGCUACUUUGUUGUAUUUGUCAGGAUAAACCUGCAUUAUUCAGAUAGUUAUACAAAUGGCUUAAACCCGGAGGAAAAGUUCUGAUCACCGAUUACUGCAUGAGUGCUGGUACACCAUCCCCUGAAUUUGCAGCAUAUAUUAAGCAAAGGGGAUAUGAUCUCCAUGAUGUGUAAGCAUAUGGACAGGCAAGUGUAUACAAAUUUCAUUCCUAUUGCAAUUCCAGAACUUGACAUUAGCAUACGAAUCAUGUUUGUGUGUGUAUAAUUAAUUGGCUCCCUUUAUUGUACUACAAAUGGGAUUAAAGGAGGCCCCCAUGUGGAGUAUGAAAUAUGAGUAGUUGCAGGUGAACUGUUUGCUGGUGAUCUAUGUCAGGUAUCUGAUGUUAAAGAUCUCAAAUAUAUUUGUAUUAAAAUACUUUAAAGCAGCUUCUUUGCUGCGAAUUAUCAUGUCGUGGAGUGUUAGUUGAUGUUUAUCCAUAACCCACUCCCUACCCAAAUCUUUUUUCUUUCGUGGUUUCCUGACCUAGAAGCUUUGUAUUCUGAUUGUCUGCUAAUUGAUGCAUUGUUGUCAAAUCCCAAAAAUAAAAAAAAUCGAUGCAAUGUUGUGAACUCUGCUAAAGGUGCUUUGUUAAGUAUAAAUGUAGUAAAUUGCCAAAAUGUUGUAGUGCGCUAGAACUGAAUGCACAAUGUAAUGUUUGAAAGUCUACAUAAGUGUUUGUCUUUUAUCAGAUAUUGUCAUUUGGAUGAAAUGUUGACAAUAACUACUGCAGCUAGACACUUUGAGUGAGCUUCAGAAGCUCUAUGACGAGCUUGUUAAAAAGUUGAAAAUGUCGGUUGGAUCGCUAUGCAACCUCAGAACAGUCUGUGAGGAAAGUGCCCUAAUUUCUGUUGCUACUAUUACUUCACAAUGUUAUUCAGUUACUCUGUUUAAUGGCCUUGUAAGUUGGAGAUCUUUUAGAAGUAGUUUUCUUCCCCCGUGAAAGGAUUAUACCUUUAUGGUGGGGUUGGCACAAGGAAAACCAUGUUGAUGGACUUGUUUUAUCAUCAAUUGUAAGACAAUUUUUAUUUGCUUAUUGCUCGAGGAAAUCUUGUUGGAUGUUGCUUGAUCUGUGUUAAUAUGGUAAUUGUUACAUUGUUUACUUCCUUACUUGGAUCACCUACUAAAAGUGAUGAUGUAUUAACUCUUGUCAGACUUUGCAAUUGGAGAGAAAUUAAAUGAGGAUACACCUUCAGGAUUUCUUAUUUUUUGUUUGCAUUUUAGUAAUGUUGAUAUCUAGGGUUAGGAUUUUUAUCUGAGUUUUGAUUUGUUUUCGCAGUACAAUAUGAGCAUGCUUGUUUUAUCAUCAUUUUUGAGAUGAUUUUAAUUCAAUCAAAAACCGAAAUUUCAUUUUCGGGAAAUCCGCGGCUCGGUUGUACACUUGCUUUACUCUUUUCCCUAUCUAUUGCUCUUUCGUUUAUGAUUACUGCAUCUCCCAUUCGAUCUCCUUCAUUUUCGACUUGAAUUGAAUUUUAACUGGAAUUUUGUUUCUUUUCUUUUGAAAAUUUGACAGCCGCACGCAAUUAUCGAACGCAUUAUGGAGAUUCUAAUUUUUACUUCUUUCCAAAGAAUUUGUGGAAACGGCUGAUGGAAGUGGUACUUUAAAACCCAAUCAAAUUGCAUAUUCAUUCGACAGAUGCCUGAAGACAGAAACCAUGGAAUCGGUAAACAAGGGGUAUGAAGCAGAAGCACAUGUAUGAUAUUUUUUUCGAAGUUUGUUCGUAACUGAUCUUUAGUCAAUGAUGGACAAUCGAUGCUUCUUUCAGCAUUACAAGGCAAUAUUACAAAUUUAGGACUUGAUUUUGUUUAUUUGUUAUUACCAAGGUAUUGUUUUAAUUUGACCUUAAUAGGUAAUGUCAACGAUUUUAACAGUUGUGAGGGCUUUAUCCUUAAAUCAGAUUUAGCGUGUAUGGUCUUUGAAGUUUGAAUAGAUAAUUUGAUAGAAGGUUUACUUUCUUCGUUUGUGCUCCUCAAUACAACAAUCCAUGUAAUGUAACAUAAUGUAGGAAUAGGAAUUGAAGACAGGAAUCGGCUCAGUAAUUCAGUAUCUGGGUUAUUUUUGUUUAAAGGAGCUUGGGAAACAAGUGGUGACUAGAUAUGGAAAGUUUGCAACGUAUUUUGUUAUAUUGCUCUCUACGGAUAUGAAUAUCUUUUUUUGGUAAUGUGGAGAAGAAUGUUAGAGGCUUAGAGCAUUUAAUCUUAGAUGGAAAAAAGCAGAUGAGAGGUGGGAAUCACAACAGACUAGAUGGCUUGUUGCUUACAACUUCAUAUGUUUUGUAUGACUCCAAAUAUGGAAAUAAUAUUUCAAUCUUAAGUUUUAGGAAAUAUUAUGUUUAUAUUGGGUUGAAAUAAUUGAACGCGGUUAUUUGUCUCAGCACCACCAUUAAAUAUUUCCCCUGUUGGCUGGUAUAUUAUGUGUUGGUAAUGCUUUUAUCUUAAUAUUGACGUGUUAUUUCUUAUAUAUUG